UAUUAGUGAAGAUCCGUUCGGCAGAGUAGCUGUCAAUAUUACAGUUGCGCAGGCACUUUGGUGACUCUAGAGAACCUCGGGCCGUGACGACGACUUUGCAUUCGGAUGUCUGCCCUAUCAACUUUCGAUGCCACUUUCUGCGCCUACCAUGGUGACCACAGGUAAUGGGGAAUCAGGGUUCGAUUCCGGAGAGGCAGCCUGAGAAACGGCUACCAAAUCCAAGGCGCGCAAAUUACCCACUCCCAACACGGGGAGGUAGUGAUUA